rnacentral:rRNA from 1 species
CCUACGGGAGGCAGCAGUGGGGAAUAUUGCACAAUGGGGGAAACCCUGAUGCAGCGACGCCGCGUGAGUGAAGAAGUAAUUCGUUAUGUAAAGCUCUAUCAGCAGGGAAGAAAAUGACGGUACCUGAGUAAGAAGCCCCGGCUAACUACGUGCCAGCAGCCGCGGUAAUACGUAGGGGGCAAGCGUUAUCCGGAUUUACUGGGUGUAAAGGGAGCGUAGACGGCAGUGCAAGUCUGGAGUGAAAGGCGGGGGCUCAACCCCCGGACUGCUCUGGAAACUGUACGGCUGGAGUGCAGGAGAGGUAAGUGGAAUUCCUAGUGUAGCGGUGAAAUGCGUAGAUAUUAGGAGGAACACCAGUGGCGAAGGCGGCUUGCUGGGUCGAUACUGACAUUGAGGCACGAAAGCGUGGGGAGCAAACAGGAUUAGAUACCCGAGUAGUC